rnacentral:lncRNA from 1 species
GCGACUGCUGCUGCUUUGAAAAAGAAAAAUCCUACAAUGCAAGUGAAAGGACAGAUUUUCUGAGCCACUGCUUCUGCACCAGGGUGAGGGUUCAGAAGGACGAAAUACAGGCACCAAGACCUGUACUCGUUGGAGACUAUGAUGGACAACACAACAUGAAUUUCUUGCCCUCAGGUGGUUUACAAUCUAGAGAGGGAGGCAGACAAAUGACCAGAUGACAUCCGAGAGACCAAGCUUUGCCUGCCCUCCUGUGGCCUUGGCUGGGGGAUCCUCCUGUGGCCCAUGGAAGGGGCAUUUCUCUGAACUGAAGGACUCCACCUCUCCUAUGCUAUAACUGGCCAGGGAUGGGCCUGCAGUGGCUGAUCAGAGGUUCAGCCCUUGGUAAUUCAAGCCAAUCCAGUUUCUUGCCUUAAAAUUUGUAAUUGACAUGCUGACAGAUGAAGUUAGUUACAGGUGGUGAGUGAGCUUCAAGUUUAUGGAGACUUGGGACUGAAGCCACUUGAUGAGCCACGUAUUCCCAGAGAGUGUGUAAAAGCAAAAGAAGCAACCAGAAGAGAGGAUGAGAGAGGGGAAGGGGGCAGACUUGGAGAGUCAGCUCCCCUUGAUGGCAACAACUCCCCUUGCUCCUUAUCUUUGUGUCCUGUGAGAUUACCAUUCUUUAAAAUAAAUCCCUCUCUUCCUGCGA